UUAAGGAGCCCAGGAAGUGUGAAAGACAAUUUAGGUUGAUGUGUGUUUGUCUCUCCAGGUAAACUUUUGUGUCCCCAGAGAGGAGAGUCUCUGCAUUUCUGUCUCCCCAAGUGUUAUUGGGCUCCUUGGAUCAAAUUAGAAGGUGCUAUGAACCAAUAUACUGUUGCUAGUGUCACCAUUAAGGAACUAAAUCAACUCCAGUAUUUCUUCCAGGUCUGGCAAGGAAAAGGAUUGUGAAUGUGAAGGGU
rnacentral:lncRNA from 1 species